rnacentral:tRNA from 1 species
GCCUUCGUGGUGUAGUGGUCAGCACGAUCGACGCGUAACAGCGAGGUACGUGGUUCGAAUCCCGGCGAAGGCG